AUUGAACGCUGGCGGAAUGCUUUACACAUGUAAGUCGAACGGCAGCAUAGGUGCUUGCACCUGAUGGCGAGUGGCGAACGGGUGAGUAAUACAUCGGAACGUGCCCAGUCGUGGGGGAUAACGUAGCGAAAGUUACGCUAAUACCGCAUACGCUCUAAGGAUGAAAGCGGGGGACCGUAAGGCCUCGCGCGAUUGGAGCGGCCGAUGUCAGAUUAGGUAGUUGGUGAGGUAAAGGCUCACCAAGCCGACGAUCUGUAGCUGGUCUGAGAGGACGACCAGCCACACUGAGACUGAGACACGGCCCAGACUCCUACGGGAGGCAGCAGUGGGAAAUUUUGGACAAUGGACGCAAGUCUGAUCCAGCCAUUCCGCGUGCAGGACGAAGGCCUUCGGGUUGUAAACUGCUUUUGUACGGAACGAAAAAGCUCUUACUAAUACUAGGAGUCCAUGACGGUACCGUAAGAAUAAGCACCGGCUAACUACGUGCCAGCCGCCGCAGUAA
rnacentral:rRNA from 1 species